rnacentral:rRNA from 1 species
UACGAAGGGGGCGAGCGUUGUUCGGAUUUACUGGGCGUAAAGGGCGCGUAGGCGGCCACCGCAAGUCGACUGUGAAAUCUCCGGGCUUAACCCGGAAAGGUCAGCCGAUACUGCGGGGCUAGAGUGCAGAAGGGGCAACUGGAAUUCUCGGUGUAGCGGUGAAAUGCGUAGAUAUCGAGAGGAACACCUGCGGCGAAGGCGGGUUGCUGGGCUGACACUGACGCUGAGGCGCGAAAGCUAGGGGAGCGAACGGG